rnacentral:lncRNA from 1 species
AAAGUUUGUUGAACAUUUCUUUAAGUGCUUCUUGGCCACCAGAGAUUCCUCUGUUGAGACUUCUCUGUUUAGCUCUGUUCCCCAUUUUUUAAAAUUGUGUCAUUGGUUUGUUGGUACAUAAUUUCUUGUGGCUAUUAGCCCUCUGUCAGAUGUAGGGUUGGUGAAGAUCUUUCCCCAUUCUGUAGGUUACUGUUCUGUUCUGUUGAGGGUGUCCUUAGCUUUGCAGAAGCUUUACAGUUUCAUGAGGUCCUGUUUAUUAAUUGUUGAUCUUAGUGCCUGAGCUUUUGGUGUUCUGUUCUGGAAGUUUUCCCCUGUGCCAAUAUGUUCAAGGCAUUUCCCCACUUUCUCUUCUAUUAGAAUUAGUGCAUCCAGUUUUAUGUUGAGGUCUUUGGACUUGAGUUUUGUGAAGGGUGGUAAAUAUGAAUCUAUUUUCAUUCUUCUAUAUGCAAACAUCCAAUUAGACUAACACUGUUUGUUGAAGGUAUUUUCUUUUUUCCACUAUAUGAUUUUGGCUUCUUUGUCAAAAAUCAAGUGUCCUUAGGUGUAUGAGUUUAUUUCUGGGUCUUCAAUUCUAUUCCACUGCUCAAUAUGUUUAUUCAAUGCCAGUACCAUGUGCCUUCAAUUUUCAUUGCUCUGUAGUACAGUUGGAAAUCAGGGAUGGUGAUACCUUCAGAAGUUCUUUUAUUGUCCAGGAUUGUUUUAGUGAUCCUGAGUCUUUUUUUUUUUUUUUUCAUAUGAAGUUGAGAAUUGCUCUAUCAACUCAAUGUCUACAAGAUCCCUGGGAAAUUUUUCUAUUGGUUGACAGUAGCUAAGAAAAAGGUUAAAUAAAGGGUGGACAUUUGAAAUUAGCAAUUAUGACUAUUUUUAAAUAAAAGAAGUGCUAUAUUAUCUUACAUUGUCUUUUUGCAAAGAAGUGUGAACCAAAAAGCAUUAUUAUCUCAACUGAGUAAAUGAAGGUUUCAAUUACACAAGAAGACACAUUAGUCAUAUAAAAUUCUAAUAUUCAAACAAGAAUUCUAAUAUGUAAACAUUUGCCAGGAUAUUUCCAAUAUUUUGGUAUUUAAGAGUGUAUGUAAUGUUAAGUUGAAUCAUAAAUCAUAGUACAACCAUGAGUCCAUUCUUAUUUAAAGAUAAUCUAUUUCUGAUGUGAUACAAAUUUGUAAUUUGUUUCUUAUACAUAUAUUGGUGAAAACUAUCUGCUUUCCAGGCACAUAUGCUUAGUUGAUUGUGAAAAUGUUGAUUUGAACAAUAUUCAUCCUUGAGUGUAUCGCCAGGGAAGUUCUCCUCCUCUAAGAGUGAAGAGGAAAGAAGACAGAAUUGUAUCCAGUGUAUCCAGUGCGGUGUCUGAAACCGUUACAAUGGUGUGCAUCUUGUUUCCAUUAUUUUUUAUUGCCGUGUUUCGAUGAGAUCAUACUUUGAGCCACCAUAGCUGACCUGUUCUUUAUGAGCAACUCUGAGCACCCAGCAUCCUUCCUAACAGGAUAGUCUCUGCUGAUACAAGUUCCCUCAAGAGGUUUUGGAAUUUUCAUUGAUGGUCUUUUCAAUCUUGCGACAAUUCAUAUGCCAUCAUUAAUUAUCUCUGUUUUCCAACCUGGUUGAGUGAAAUAAUUAAGUUUCACCAGCAAGAAAAAUCAGUGUAUUAAAAACCUUUGGCUGCGUUUGCAUUAGGCUGAGAUGAAAGGGAGCCUGGGAGCAGAGGCAAUGUCUCAGCUGGAAUGUAACUGUCAACAGCACUAACACGACUCACCAGCUCUAUUAGCAGAAACGGCCUGCAGGGAUCUUUACAUCAAAAUCAUUAAAAACUAAGAUUGUCAACAAACUCAGUCCUAGUUGGACCUAGAAGCCGAUUUAGAAACCGAUUUUCUCUAGUAAUUGGGCUUAAUGAGUUACUCUCUCAGUAUCAUGCUUUAUGGUGUAAUUAAACACACACACACACACACACACACACACACACACACACACACACUGAAGGUGUGGUUCUCAGUCAUGCAUUGAGAGGUGAUUGGGUGGUAAAGGUGCCAUACUCAUCAAGGGACAUCCCACAACUGAUUGCACUCUUGGGAUGUGGUGACCUCCCAGCUUAGAAGCUGUGACCUGGAAUAGGGAGGGGGUGAGGGGUGGAAGGAUGUGUCUGUUCCUUAGCCACUCUUCUGCCUUCCUUGCCUUCCUCACCUCCGUGAGAAAAUCAACAAUGUUCUUCCAGAGGCUUCCUGACUUCCUACAGUCCAGUAACAGUGGAGCCAGUGUCUGAGAGCAGAACCUUCUGAAACUGUGAACGAAGACUUCCUCCCUUAAAAACAUCAGUGCUUUGUAAGCCCCUGGGGAUGAUGUCUUCCCUCCAGGACACUCUCAGGUGAACACUGAAGAUUCCAUAGGCCAGAACCUCCAGGUUACAAAUGAGUUUUACAUAUUAUAUUCCUGUGAAAGUGCUACUUGAUUUAUUUAAUGGGAGGGUUAUCACUUGGUUUUAAUGAUAUAUCAAAGAAAACACUGAGAUCUCUUGUCAUGCCAGUACCCCCCCCCCCC